GACGAACGCUGGCGGCGUGCCUAAUACAUGCAAGUAGAACGCUGAAGGAGGAGCUUGCUUCUCUGGAUGAGUUGCGAACGGGUGAGUAACGCGUAGGUAACCUGCCUGGUAGCGGGGGAUAACUAUUGGAAACGAUAGCUAAUACCGCAUAAUAGUAGAUGUCGCAUGACAUUUGCUUAAAAGGUGCAAUUGCAUCACUACCAGAUGGACCUGCGUUGUAUUAGCUAGUUGGUGAGGUAACGGCUCACCAAGGCAACGAUACAUAGCGACCUGAGAGGGUGAUCGGCCACACUGGGACUGAGACACGGCCCAGACUCCUACGGGAGGCAGCAGUAGGGAAUCUUCGGCAAUGGACGGAAGUCUGACCGAGCAACGCCGCGUGAGUGAAGAAGGGUUUCGGAUCGUAAAGCUCUGUUGUAAGAGAAGAACGAGUGUGAGAGUGGAAAGUUCACACUGUGACGGUAUCUUACCAGAAAGGGACGGCUAACUACGUG
rnacentral:rRNA from 1 species